rnacentral:rRNA from 1 species
AAUAGAUACCCUGGUAGUCCACGCCGUAAACGAUGAGUGCUAAGUGUUAGGGGGUUUCCGCCCCUUAGUGCUGCAGCUAACGCAUUAAGCACUCCGCCUGGGGAGUACGGUCGCAAGACUGAAACUCAAAGGAAUUGACGGGGGCCCGCACAAGCGGUGGAGCAUGUGGUUUAAUUCGAAGCAACGCGAAGAACCUUACCAGGUCUUGACAUCCCAUUGACCACUAUGGAGACAUAGUUUUCCCUUCGGGGACAACGGUGACAGGUGGUGCAUGGUUGUCGUCAGCUCGUGUCGUGAGAUGUUGGGUUAAGUCCCGCAACGAGCGCAACCCUUGUUCUUAGUUGCCAUCAUUUAGUUGGGCACUCUAAGGAGACUGCUGGUGACAAACCGGAGGAACGGUGGGGAUGACGUCAAAUCAUCAUGCCCCUUAUGACCUGGGCUACACACGUGCUACAAUGGACGGUACAAACGGUUGCCAACCCGCGAGGGGGAGCUAACUCCGGAUAAAACCGUUCUCAGUUCGGAUUGUAGGCUGCAACUCG